rnacentral:rRNA from 1 species
CAGUCGCCGCGGGAAUACAGAGGUCUCAAGCGUUGUUCGGAUUCAUUGGGCGUAAAGGGAGCGUAGGCGGUCGGGUAAGUUGGAUGUGAAAUCCUGGGGCUCAACCUCAGAACUGCAUUCAAUACUGCUUGGCUAGAGUACUGGAGAGGUGAGUGGAAUUCACGGUGUAGCAGUGAAAUGCGUAGAUAUCGUGAGGAAGACCAGCGGCGAAGGCGGCUCACUGGACAGUUACUGACGCUGAUGCUCGAAGGCCAGGGGAGCAAACGGGAUUAGAUACCCCCGUAGUCCCUGUCUCUUAUAC